rnacentral:rRNA from 2 species
UGAGCUUGAUCAUGGCUCAGAUUGAACGCUGGCGGCAGGCCUAACACAUGCAAGUCGAGCGGUAGAGAGAAGCUUGCUUCUCUUGAGAGCGGCGGACGGGUGAGUAAUGCCUAGGAAUCUGCCUGGUAGUGGGGGAUAACGUUCGGAAACGGACGCUAAUACCGCAUACGUCCUACGGGAGAAAGCAGGGGACCUUCGGGCCUUGCGCUAUCAGAUGAGCCUAGGUCGGAUUAGCUAGUUGGUGGGGUAAUGGCUCACCAAGGCGACGAUCCGUAACUGGUCUGAGAGGAUGAUCAGUCACACUGGAACUGAGACACGGUCCAGACUCCUACGGGAGGCAGCAGUGGGGAAUAUUGGACAAUGGGCGAAAGCCUGAUCCAGCCAUGCCGCGUGUGUGAAGAAGGUCUUCGGAUUGUAAAGCACUUUAAGUUGGGAGGAAGGGCAGUAAAUUAAUACUUUGCUGUUUGACGUACCGACAG